CCCAACUUUUCGGAUCUUGAUUCUCAUUCAUUUCAGUUUGCGCAAGUACCUCUGCUUUGCUAACUUCAUUCAACUGUGACUCUCCAAGAGGUCUCAAGAACAGUUUUCCGCUUAGUCUAUUGUUGUCACUCUUUGCAGCAGAAGAUCGAACACCUGAACAUGCCAAGUUAUUAUUAAGUGAUGCUGCAUUAACCAAUGGCUUCUUUAAUCCCAGAGAUUGAGGAGGCAAUGUGAUAGACUUUAGUAGUUUGAAAGAUUUGUAAAAGGAAACACUCGUUUAUUAAUGAAAGAUAUAGCUUCGAAAGUUCAGAUUCAGAUCAUCAUCUCAUGACGAUAAUGAUAUUCCUUUACGAUCUCAUAGCGAUCGCCUCUAGACUCAUAGUGUCUACAAUGAACAUACAAAGCAUAAAAGAUUCUCUCUAACGGUCACUUCUUAUUUAUACUCAAGUCUUCCCUCAACCCUCCAACGGCAAACCCUCUGUUCGCUUUAGAGUCAUAGCUUCCUCAUCCAACGGCAAACCCUCUGUUUGCAUCAGAGUCUCAGCUUUCUUCUCACCACUCGACUUAACCUCCACGUUAACAUUCUUCAUUGACUUCUUCCUGAAGUAAGCUCUUUGAUACUUAUCAAUACUCACUCCUUUGAAAUCAAGCUUGUCCUCAAGCUUGAAAUAAGGAUAAUGCUCCACAAACUCUCCAUAAGAUACCCAUGAAUUCUCAUGAGAAGGACAAUGCACCCACUUCACCAACAACUCCAAAUAUUCCUCAUCAUUAUAUCGCUUCGCUAAGACAUCCUCCGGAAUCACAAUACUGUCAACUUCACUCAGCUUCUCCAAUGGUAAUGGCUUCACUUCCACACAAGAACCUAAAGCCAACUUCAAUUGCGAAACAUGAAAGACCGGAUGUAUCUUUGAUGAUGCCAGCAAUUGAAGCUUAUAAGCAGUCUGUCCCACUCUGGCCAUCACUUGAAAGGGACCGAAGAACUUCGCCGCUAACUUUUGACACACAUGGCGUGCCACCGACUGUUGACGAUAUGGUUUCAACUUAAGAUAAACCAUGGCGCCAACUUCAAAUUCAACAUCUCGACGAUGACCAUCAGCACUCUUCUUCAUUAGUUCUUGUGCACGCAACAAGUUAAACCUGAUCUGCUCCAACAUCCUAUCUCGUUCCCGCAACGAAGCCUCCAACUCAAAGUUCUUAGUGGACCCUUCCUCAAAACGAAGCAACGUUGGUGGAUCUCGCCCAUAAACUACAGAGAAAGGAGAAGCCUUGAGCGAGGAAUGAAAAGAUGUAUUAUACCAUAAUUCAGCCAACGCCAAGAACUUAAACCAGGUCCGUGGAUGAGAUGAAGCAAAGCAACGCAAGUAGGUCUCCAAGCAACGGUUCAACACCUCCGUCUGACCAUCAGUUUGAGGGUGGAAAGCGGUACUGAAUUUGAGUUUUGUACCCGCCAGACGAAAAGCAUCAGUCCAGAAAGCACUGAGAAAGAUCCUGUCACGAUCUGAUACGAUGCUUUUUGGAAAUCCAUGUAAACGCACAAUCUCAGCUACAAACUUCUCCGCAACAUCCAAGGUUGAAAACAGAUGCUUCAAUCCAAUAAAGUGUCCAUACUUACUCAAUCGAUCCACCACAACCAACACCACAUUAAAGCCUUGAGAAGUAGGUAAUCCUUCAAUAAAAUCCAACGAGAUGUCCUCCCAAACUCUUGUAGGAACUGGCAAGGGUUGUAACAAGCCCGCAGGUGAGAGUGUUGAGUACUUAUGAGUUUGACAAACUGUACACUCCGCCACAUAUAUACUGUUGGACCCUCUUCGCAAUGCCUUCCCAAUAAAAACUCAACUGAAUCCUCUUCAACGUUUUGAAAACACCAGAAUGACCUCCCAACUUUCUGUCAUGACACUUCGCUAGAAUCAAUGGAAUGAAACGAGAAGUUUUAGAUAGUACCAAACGCCGUUUAUACCACACUCUGCCUUCAAUGAUCUGAUAAUGAGCAUUCUUGAUAGUACCAUCCAAUACUCUCUGCUUCAAUCUUACCACAUCCUCGGCUGACUCCAACUCCUUAUAAAUGUCUUGAAUUUGUAAAACAUUCAGAAUUGUUACCGCCAAGCACAAUGAACUCCCCGACCCUUCACUAGCUUCCAUACAACGAGGCAACCCAUCAGCGGCCUUAUUCUCACAACCUGGUUUAUAAAAUAUCUGAAAAUCAUAGCCAAGUAAGCGAGUUAACCACUUUUGAUAUUCCAUAUUGACUUCCUUCUGCUCGAGCAAGAAUUUGAGACUGCAUUGAUCGGUAUGAACAAUAAACUUGCGUCCCAAAAGGUAAUGCUUCCACUUCUGCACCGCCAUUACUACUGCCAUCAACUCCCUUUCAUAAGCCGGUUUCAACUGUUCUCUUGGUGUUAGAGCAUGGCUAAAAUAAGCGAUAGGAUUCUUGUCUUGCAUUAAUACUGCACCGAGACCAAACCCUGAUGCACCAGACUCAAUGAUGAAUGGUUUAGAGAAAUUCGGUAAUGCCAACACUGGGGUAGAAACCAUCGCAUUCUUCAACUGAUCAAAUGCCUAUCCUGCCUCCUUACUCCAAUCAAACUUAUCCUUCUGCAACAGAGUUGUCAAAGGUUUAGCCAACACUCCAUAGUCUUUGACAAACCUCCUGUAAUAGCCAGUUAAGCCCAAAAACCCUCUCAAUUGUUUCACUGUCUUCGGAAUAGGCCACUGCUUCAUCGCUUCUGUCUUGGUCACCUCCGACCAUUGCCACACCAUUUUCUGAUAUAAUGUGGCCAAGAUACUCUACCUGGCUCAAGCCAAACACACAUUUCUUCUUAUUUGCGAACAAUGUUUGCUCCUGAAACACUUGUAAAACCAACUUCAAAUGAUGGACAUGUUCUUCGACUGAAGGGCUAUACACUAAUAUGUCAUCAAAGAAAACCAAGACAAACUUCCGCAAGAAUGGCUUGAAAACUCGGUUCGUCAAUGCCUGAAAAGUAGCUGGAGCAUUGGUCAAACCAAAAGGCAUGACCAAGAACUCAUAAUGACUCUCAACCGUGCGAAAUGCUGUCUUUGCAAUGUCCUUCUCCUCCAUUCUUAUUUGAUGAUAACCAGAACGAAAGUCUAACUUGGAGAAUAUCACUGCUCCAUGUAACUCAUCAAGCAACUGAUCAAUGAUUGGUAUAGGAAAUUUGUUUGGCACUGUCACUCGGUUAAGCGCCCUAUAAUCCACACAAAAACGGUGACUAUUGUCCUUCUUCUUGACCAAAAGCACUGGACUGGAGAAAGGGCUAUUGCUGGGACGUAUAAUACCUGAUUCCAGCAUCUCAUUCACCAUUUUCUCCAUCACAAGCUUCGUGUUAUGCGGAUGUCGGUAUGGUUGAACCGACACUGAAGAAACUCCUGGUAACAGCUCAAUAGAAUGCUCUGUUCCUCUGAAAAGUGGUAGUUGUGUUGGUAGCUCAAAAACUGCUGCGAACUGCUCCAACAACUGAGAAACUGCCAACGGAAUAUCUGGUAAGGUUGUCGGUACUUCUGUACUAGCCCCAAGUGCUUCUCUUCCUUUGUAAACCAGUAGAGAAGAAUGGAUACAAUGACUGAAACAAGGGAGGAGCACAAUGUAAACUCGGGUCCCCAAACAAUGUCACUCUCUUCCCUUGAUAAGCAAAUGAGAUUUCAUGUUUCUUCCAGUCAAUCUCACAUUUACCUAAUGUCUCAAGCCAUUGUAUUCCUAAUACCAAAUCAACCGCUCCCAAUUCCAAAGAGAUGAAGUCAGAUGUAAAAGUAUUAGAGCCAAGGUGAAAAGGUAAAGAUUUGCACACGCCUAACCCUUUCACAAUCACUCCAUUACCCAAUAAUACAUCUAGGCUGCUGUCUGCAAAAACUUUCAAUUGCAACCUCUUCACAACUUCAGGGGAUAUGAAGUUAUGAGAUGCUCCACUAUCAAGCAAAACAAUCAUCUCUAAAUUUCCAAUCUUCCCUUGUAACUUCAUUGUCUUCGGUGAACUGUAUCCCAAGAAAGAGUUAAAUGACAAAGUCUUUAACAUUGGCAUCUCCAUUGGAGAGACCAUAACUUCAUCACCAUCUUCAUCAGUAACCACCUCGAGCUCAAGUCCAUUUAUCACUGUCAUCACUCUAAGCUCCUUGUUUGGACAAACCGCUGCAUGAGCCCUUGACCAUUUCGCUCCCCAUUUGAAACAAACUCCCUCGUGACGCAUGUUAUCCAACUCAGCAUCACUAUACUUCUGACGAGGCCGUUGUGCCAACUUGCUUCCACUUGCCACAUCUUUAUUCGGCUUAGUAUCCAACAACAACUGUUUCUGCUUCUCCUGCGACUGAUGAUUCGAAUGGAACGUAGUAGCAGAAGACUUAUGAACCGGUUUAGCACUGUGACUGUGACCACUCGUAGCUGUACCCACCACCUUGCAGAAAGCACUAGAUUCCAUACGGAGAACCGCAGCAAUGUAAUUAGACAAGCCCUCUGGAUCUUUCAUCCUAAUAACCUCCUUCAUCUCCGGUGUCAAACCAUAGUAAAAUAUCAUCUCCAAGUGAUGAUCAGCUAGAUCAGGAACUUGUGCCGAUAGGUCCUCAAAUUCUGAAACAUAAUCAGUCACUGAACCAGUUUGUCGAAUCGCAAACAAUCUCGUUUCAGGUUCAUCAUAAAUUGACUCCGAGAAUCGCACAAUCAUCCUUUGUUUAAAAUCAUUCCAGCUUCGAAAACCUCCUCUCCUCAUCACCCAAGCACACCAUUUCUUCACCAGCCCUUGUAAACAAAGAGGAACCAUAUCCAUCUUUGCUUCUUUAGAAUAACGUCCCAAAUUGAAGAAAUAUUCCACAUCCACAAUCCAUUCGUAAGAUCUCAAUCCGUCAAAAGAAGGCAUCUCAACUCUGCGCACCAUGAUAUCAAGAUUCGCCAGAUGAAGAUCUUCGUGCCGAUAAUCUGCUGGAUUAUCUUCACGGAAUCGAUCACCACUCGAGUUUCGUACCUGUGAUCGUGAAGACGAAAACUCUGAAGCUCAAAUCGGAGUCUGCAUCGGAGAAUCCUCAAUCACCGGUUGCUUCCCUAACGCCUUCAACACCGCGUCAAACUUUAUGUCAAGCUUCGAAUCCAUUGAAGAAAGUUUCGUAUCCAACGUGUCGACUCUCAACUCCAAAGAAUCAAAUCUCUUCUCCUUCACAUCUGCAUCCUUCGACAAUCGCUCAUACGCUCCCAUCAGAAACUUCAAUUGACCUUGUACCUUCGACGAAACUUUCGUCGACAUCUCAGAAUCGUCCGAUUUCGCCGUCGUAUACAUCACCGUAACACCGCGUUUGAUCCGAUCUCAGUUUCACCGCACCAAUGAUAGACUUUAGUAGUUUGAAAGAAUUGUAAAAGGAAACACUCGUUUAUUAAUGAAAGAUAUAGCUUCGAAAGUUCAGAUUCAGAUCAUCAUCUCAUGACGAUAAUGAUCUUCCUCUACGAUCUCAUAGCAAUCGCCUCUAGACUCAUAGCUCUACAAUGAACAUACAAAGCAUAAAAGAUUCUCUCUAACGGUCACUUCUUAUUUAUAUUCAAGUCUUCCCUCAAUCCUCCAACGGCAAACCCUCUGUUCGCUUUAGAGUCAUAGCUUCCUCAUCCAACGGAAAACCCUCUCUUUGCAUCAGAGUCUCAGCUUUCUUCUCACCACUCGACUUAACAUCCACGUUAACAUUCUUCAUUGACUUCUUCCUGAAGUAAUCUCUUUGAUACUUAUCACAAUGCAAGAGAUAGCUUCUUCCUGCUCCAGUUGUUACCAGAUGUGUUUGCCUCGCAGAUACCAACCACUGCUUUUCUUUUCCCAUUACCAUCCAUAUGUUGAUCAGUGUCACGACUCUCUUAAUGUGUUAUGCUAAAGGAAGAUUCCACUGCUAAGUUCGGCUUAAUCCCAUCAGGAUUUUCGUGAUUUCGAGCUAAAACACGAAUUCCACUUUCAGAAACCUUCUCAUCUCCAUGACUCUAACGAGACGAAAAGGAAGCAAAGUUGGAACUUAUAGGAACACGCAAAAUCAACAUUUGCUCACUGAAUAAACUAACUAAGCACCUUAACCUCGCCUGCGUUUGGUGUUUCCUGAAUUUGGAGGCUGGUGCUGCUUCCAUCACCAGCGUUAACCUUUACAGCAUACUUCUGGGUCAUCUCUCAUGCCUUAUAAUCGAAAGCUUGGCUAUUGUAUUUGUCCUCCCUGCUCUGAGACAAACAAAUCCAGCAAAAGAAAUAGUUAAGAAAAUUCUCAAAGAGAAAAUGACUUUGUGGUAAAGCAUUUUUGGCGCAUGUAUUAAGACUUACAACUUCACACAUCAAGUCAUCAUCCGGAUUAGGUUCACUAAGCAACAACCCGAUACUCGUCAACACUGUAGAGAUGUUCAAUGAUGGUUGCCAAGCACCCUGUGCUCACAACAAGAAAUAAACUAAUCACUCUUUAUCUUUCUUUUCUAAUGAAAAGGCACAUUUGCUUCCUAAUCACAUUGGCACAUCUGCUGUACCUUACUCUAGUGCAAAUUCAGAUCAAGAAAGCCAAGAAACUAUUUUUCAUUCCGGAACUUAUAUAAGAAUGCAUUUCAUCACUUGCACUGAGUAGCUUUCAUGUAUGUAUUCUAAUACCAAAAACCACCAAAGACAAGAUUGGAUUCAACAAAAAACUACGGAGCUUCUAUUCAACAAUGGCUACAACAUAUCAAUCAACAAAAGCGCCUCAAGGAAGAAGGAAGAAACAGAGUGUCACCUAUGGCGCUGUUCCAACAGACUCAAGACCUUCAGUAAUCUUCAGCUGCUUCAACAGAGUAUUAAUCCCUAAUGUUACCAAUCGAUCAUGCCUUUCCUUGUCAACCACAAAACUCCACUGCUCAUUGCAAGGAGAUAUCCAUACCCCCGAACUAAUAUAGAUAAGAACUAUGUUUGUGUGGAUAUAGAGAAGAGUUAGUGAGAAGGAUGAAGCAGAAUGGAUAAACAAAGAAGGAAAGAGAGAAAGAUAGCGGGAGAGAAAAAAAGUGGGAAAUAAAAUAUUGUGCGAAAUUUUAUAAAUUAACUUAUUUUAUAAAUUAAAGAUUUCCCCAAUAAUUCAAAAUAGAUAUUAAUUUAAAUCUUAUAUAAAUAAUUAUAAAUUUAUAUAAUGUUUUAAACCGUUUUUAUCUACUUUUACAAUUCAAAAAUAUAUAUUUUAGAUCAUUAUAUAUUUUUCAUCCACUUUUGUACUGAUAGAUAAGUUAGAUCCACAUUUAUUAUAUUCGAUCUAUUUGGUUCACUAAAUCCGCUCAAAAGAGUUUCCUCUUUCGUUGACCCUUAGACAAGCAUAUUUUAAAUUCAAAAUGCAAACUGUUUGACUGGAAACAGUUUGCAUUUUGAAUUUAAAAUAUGCUUUUCUAAAGGUAUAUAUAGAUGUAUAUACCGUCUGUGUGUAUUUUCUUAACUAGUAAAUAAAUAAAAAAAGCCACCAGAAAGUAGAUAUGCUCCAUUGAAACAUCAUUUGCUUUCAUUUUUGGUUAAAAAUAAAUACUAAUAGAAAAUAUAAUAUAUUGUUUGAAUUUUGACUAGUAUUACGUAAAAAUAGUAGUACUUGAUUUUAUCUAAAACUAGAUUUUGAUUUGUUUGGUUUAUAACUUUAUAUAAUUGUUAUAUACAUUCGUUAAAAGUCAGAGAUAAUAUUCAUACUUAAACGUUUGCGUUUUGAUGAUUAUACUUGGGAGUUUAGAUAUUUUACGUAUCGUAUUUCAGAUUAAUAAAUUUUUAUAAUAUGUUAUUAAUGUUUUAAAGCGAGAUUAUGAUCCACGAUUUAAAAUUUACAACGUAUUUUAUUACAAAUUGAUAAAUUUUAUAAUGCCGUAUGUUUUGGUUUGUUUUUGAAAAUUCUUAUUUUCAGUUGCUAUUUUUAAUAAGUUAGCACUGUAAUAUAAAUAAGUUUUAAAAACUAAUAGAAUUUUCUAUAUAUUUUUGUUUUCUCAAAAAUCAAUUUAAAAUACAUCUCAUAUUUACUAAUAUAAUUAAAUUGGCCUUGAAUAAAACAAAUAAAGAUAAAUAAUGUUUGGCCUUUGUUUACAUCCAAAAAUUUUAAAGAUUGAGUUUUUAACAUACAAAACUAAAUCACUUUGGUUUUGUUUGGGUUUUGUUUUAUUAAUUUGAGGAAUGACAUGGCAAUUUAAUUAUCUUCAAAAAGUAAUGGAAGAAUCAUAAAAAGAGAUUUUGUUUUAAUAGUAUAGAUUUGUGUUUCUGAAAAAGGUGAUUUAUCCAAUUUGGUAACGGAAUAUUGAUUCUGUAAAUCUUGACCAGUAUCGCUACCAAGACCAGACUUGCCCCACACACACUAUAAAUGUAUGGAAUACAUAUGGCUAAAUACUCUCGCAAACUUUGAAACUCUAAACCAACACGUGAAGAUGAAGAACGUUUCUCUCAAGCUUCCACUCUUGAUUUUCAUUUUGUUCAACACAUCUAGAAAGUAUUUCUUUUGCUUUUUAGAACAGUAGCGUUUGUGUUUCUUUCCACAAAUAUAAAUAGAGAAAACAAAACUUAACCGUUAAACCCCAUUUAUUUAUGUGAAUGAUGGAGAAGAUUUUGGAGUAGAAGCAAGAGAGUUAACUGAAGUUGAAGUUAUGGCCGGAAGUACAAGUGACGCUGCCAUAGGCAAGGCUCUGCAUCCAGCACAUCCACCUUGCCAGAGGGACGUCGAUUGUAGGUUCGAAUGUCCCAAGGGAGGAUACUGCAACGAUCGCUAUGGGUUAUGUGUUUGUCUCUGAUCACUAUUCUAAUCUAAUUUCCAUAUAAAAAAAUGUAUCAUCAUCAAACCUUUAGACUUUAACACCACUCAUUUUGUAUUUCAAGAUUAAUAAUAAUAAAUCAUAUGCUUGAGAUUCAAUAUGCAACCUUGGUUCGAUCCAAAUAAAACAAAACAGUUAUUUCAAGGUCGACCACACUUGAGGCCUCUCCUUGCCAAUGACAAUCUUGACUUCAAAGAGACUGUUGAUUCUUCCUCUUCUCUUCCACUUUCUUCACUCUUUAGAACAACAAUGGAUUCAGGCAUUGAUGCACUGGGCCCAAUAAUUCAAAUAGAUAUUAAUUUAAUUUUAUAUAAAUAAUUAUAAAUUUAUAUAAUGUUUUGAACCAUUUUUAUCUUUUUUUUACAAUUCAAAAAAUAUAUUUUAAAUCAUUAUAAAAGUUUCAUCUACUCUUAUACUGAUAGAUACGUUAGAUCCACAUUUAUUAUAUUCGAUCUAUUUGGUUCACUAAAUCCGCACCGUUGAUUUCGGUGAAAAGAGUUUCCUCUUUCGUUGACCUUUAGACAAGCAUAUUAUAAAUUCAAAAUACAAACUGUUUGACUGGAAAUCAUAUAUAUAUAUAUAUUCGUAUAUAUUGUCCGUGUUUAUUUUUUUAACUAGUAAAUCACAAAAAAAAGCCACAGAAUUGUAAAGGCUGUAGUUUUAAUAUUUUUACUAUAUAAUUAAUGCUGUAGAAUUUUUGUUGUUGAUGUAGAUUUUUUUGCUACAGAUUUUUUAUUGUAAUUUUUUUGCUGUAGUUUUUUUCCUUUUAAAGCAUGAUUGGUAUAAAAUAGCUGUAAAUGUUAUAUACAUAUUCUAACUCUGAUUAAAUGAAAAUCAAAAUCAAAUUGAUAAAUAUUAAUCCAUGUCAAACUAUUUUUUAAAGAUUUUCACACAUUAAUAAAACAUAUUAAAUUUUGAUUAUAAAUACAUCAUUUUAUGAUUAAUUAUUUUCCAGAACUUUUCGCCAAUAAAAAUUUAAUAAACACAAUUAUUGUUUUCAAAGUUUACAACUUAUCAUUAUUAUCUAAUAAAAAUAUAUUAAAAUUUUAGAAAUGUGUUUUUGAAACAGUUUCUUUUCUAAAACAUGGAUCAUUUUAAAAUAGAGGGAAUAGUAAUCAGUCACAUUUUAUGAACUGAUUAAUUAUUAUAGAAACAUUGUAUGUUUCUUUUUUGUAAAUGAAUAUAAUUGUUAAGUAUCAUAUAUAAUCAACAUAUGUGAGAUGUUAUUUAUACGUAUGAAAUUUAUAGUAUAUAUAUUACGUGUAUUUUAGAAAGAAAAUAAAACGUUUGGUAGGAAAGAGAAAAUUAUUGUUCAAAGCACUUGACGAAGUGCUCUGGAGAACUUGAUCUCUAAAGCCAUAAACUGAAAUAAAAGCUAGUUAUGGCUGUGAGUUUUCAAAUGUAAAUUAAUGUAUGAUUGCUUUGAAUUUUUGGCUGUGGAGAAAAUUUGGAACGUGGACAACACUCAGCUCUCACCAAUCAUCUUCUAGAUAUGCUCGAUUGAAACAUCAUUUGCUUUCAUUUUUGGUUAAAAAUAAACACUAAUAGAAAAUAUAAUAUAUUUUUUGAAUUUUGACUAGUAUUGCAUAAAAAUAGUAGUACUUGAUUUUAUCUAAAAUUCGUGUUUCUGAAAAAAAGUGAUUUAUCCAAUUUGGUAACGGAAUAUUGAUUCUGUAAAUCUUGACCAGCAUCGCUACCAAGACCAGACUUGCCCCAUACACACUAUAAAUGUAUGGAAUACAUAUGGCUAAAUGCCUAAAUACUAUCGCAAACUUUGAAACUCUAAACCAACACGUGAAGAUGAAGAACGUUUCUCUCAAGCUUCCACUCUUGAUUUUCAUUUUGGUCAUCACAUCUAGUAAGUAUUUCUUUUGCCUUUUAGAACAGUAGCGUUUGUGUUUCUUUUCACAAAUAUAAAUAGAGAAAGCUUAACUGUUGAAACCCAUUUUAUUUAUGUGACAUGAUGGAGAAGAUUUUGGAGCGGAAGCAAGAGAGUUAACUGAAGUUGAACUUAUGGCCGGAAGUUCAAGUGACGCUACCAUAGCCAAUACUCUGGAUCCAGCACAUCCACCUUGCCAGAGGGACAUCGAUUGUACCUUCAAAUGUCCCAAGGGAGGAUUCUGCAACGAUCCCCUUGGAUUAUGUGAUUGUUCGUGAUCAUUAUUCUAAAUCUAUUUUUCACUUUUAAAAGGAAAACGUAUUGCCAUAAAUUCUCUAGGCUUUUAUUUUAACACUCACUAGGGUAAGAUCUGCGCCUUGCGAGGCACAUGGUAAAUUUAUAUGAAAAUUAUUUAAGAAAUAUCGUAUGAAAAAAAUUUAUAUUAUUGAUCAAAUUAAUAUAUUUGGCUCUUAGACAAAUUUUUAAAACUUUUUUGUUAAUUACAUAAUUUGUUUACUAAUGAACUGAUCACAUUUUUAAAAAUAUUUUAGGUCAAAAAAUUAUUUAUCGCAUAACAACCUAACGUUUAGGCCGAAAAAUCUCAUGCCUACUAUUUGUUUACAAUGAAACUAUGUCAGCUCGGUUUUAUAUCAUGAUUUAGCAAUUUAAAAGUUAAUUAUCGUUAUGAGAAGUUUACGUUCACGUGCCAAUCCUAUCUAUCUUCGAUAUUUUUCUCAUUUUUGUGUCAUUUUAGUUAUUGUUCGAUAUAAAUAUUGAUUUUUGAGUUUAUUCUCAUUUCUUUCUUUUAUUUUGGGCUGACAUUUAGAAAAUGUUUAAGAUUCAAAAUUAUUAAAGAGAUACAUACUUAUGUUAAGAUCUGCGCAUUGUGCAGAAUAAAUAAUUUUUUUAUAUUUUUCUGCAUGUUAUGAAAUAAUAAAAUAAUAAUUAUAUAUUAAAUAACUAAGAAAUCAGUUACUAUUAUGUAAUAAAUUGGCUUGCAUAUAUAAAUCAAAUGACCGCUAUUGUUUAUUCGCAAUCAUUUUAGAAUAAAUAAAUCAAAACAAUCAAUCUUAUCUAUCGUAUAUGAUAUAUAAUUAAAUUUAAACGAUAUGAAGUAUAUAUAUAUAUAUUAACAUAAACACCUAUUAAAAUAGUGUUACAAAAAAAAAGUGUUACAAAAAAACACCUAUUAAAAUAAAAUUAUUUAUUUAUAUGAUUUUAUUAUCAUUGUAUCUUAUUAUAAAAAAAAUUUAAACAUUGAUCACAAAAGUUUAUGUGAGACUUUUAACAGUUUUAGUAAUUUAUACUCGUUUUGAAAAAUUCAAAAUACAACAUAUACAAAAAAUUUAAUAUAUGAUUAAUGUAAUUUAUUUUAAUAGUAAAGAAUUAAACAAAAAUGAUAGAAAUCAUACAGAUUAUUAGCAAAUCUUCAUUAUUUAAAAUCAUUAAUUACUUAUAUAUCAUAAUCACAUUAAGUAAUUCCGUAGGUUUUAUUUAAGGAAAUAAUAUAUAAUAAAUAGCUACAUUUUGUACUUAACCCUGAGUUUUUCUCAAUAAUUACUACCUUAUGCAAUUGGUAUUAAACACAACGUUUUGCUUCUUUACUAAAGCUACGUACGUUUGCCUUAUUUGUUUUUUAACACUGUGAAUCUUAUUGAGCUACAUGAACAAAAAAUCCAGAGUAUUACAAAAAAUCAAAGCAUAAAACCAUACCAAUAGGUAUGUCAAGGAAACAUAAACGCACUUCACACAUACGAAGACAAUAGUCUCAUGAUGGUGUGCGUUCGAAUAGAAGGCUGCAGGAGAGGCUAGUGCUUCUGCAAAAAUUAAGGAUUGAAAUUAUUCACCCUCUCUACAAUGGAAACUCAUCAAGAGAGCAUUGGACAAUUUCCAAAAUUGAUGUCUUCUUGUUUGUUUCUAAACCAUGAACUUGAAUCCUUUAAACUGUUUGGCUCUUCUUUUAUCCACAUUAGCGGCUUGAAAAGAGCUUAGCUUAUAAAGAUUCAUCUCAAAGAGGUUAAUCCAACCAAUUCGUUAACAAAAGAGAAUGAAAUUCCAUAAACGCCAAAGACCACGAAAAACAAUCUGAUAGUAGACACACUGCUCCAGUAAUACUGAAAAACCCAACACUUCCAACUUCAGGACCACCAUGAAUGGACUCAAACAGGCUGGAAACAGAGCCUUUGCAUCAUGUGAGAUGCACCGUGGCUUAGGAUCGAAACAUCACCAUCUGCUCGAGUAGAGGCCAGAGAAGAACACAGUCUUUAAACUCCAUAAACAUCCUCUGUUCCAAGCCCCAAGAUCUAAUUGAUACCCGACAUAAAACAACAAAAACACUGAGAGAAACAACACAAGCGAGCUCCGAUGCAAAUACGACACACCGAACACGGCCUAGAAACCAAGAUAUUGAAACAAGAUCUAUGAUAUCAAGUGGACAAGCGGGCUAGCUACUCCGUUGAUCAAAAGAUCCGGAACCUCCAUCAUCAUAUCAGAGAAGUUUAUGACCAAGGUAAGAACAUUCAACCAAAUCGCUCUAAUCGUGCCACUCCACAACAACCUUCAUCAGACCAGAAUAGAUGAGACUGACGAGAGCCUCUCCUGGCGAUGGCGAGGAGCGCCGACCGCCGGAGAAGCUAGGAUCUCGCCAAGAAUUUUAACGACGGCUGAAAGGUUUGGGAGAAAAAAAAUUAGGUUUUCAGGAAAUCAGAUGGGUGAAAUAACCAAAGCUUCUUAGUUAUACUUUUUUUCAAAAGAUUCAUCGAGAUCCUAACUCUAUAACUUUUUCUAAAACCGAUUAAUAAUGUUCACAAAAUCUUGCAGAUUGCAAUAUUCUUCAAAUAUUUAAAUUUCUAGCUUAGAUAAGGUAAACAAUAAAAUUACGAAUCCUAAAAUCUCGGUUUCCCUGGAUAUCUACCUAAUAUCACACUAGCUUUAAAAUAAAAAACUUUUUCCUUUAAUCACGUCUUACAAAUUUUAUUUCCUAAAUCAAAAAUACAUUGAGAUUUUAGUUAGCAAAAAUAUCGGUUGUAUUAGCCAUAUAAGAAACACAUCGACUCUUCACAUAUGCAAUACCAUCCGAAAAUGACUUCGAACAAGAGCAUCACAUUACUCAAAGACGUUGAACCGUUCAAGAGUUGUUGGUGUGUCCAGGUUAAGUUUCUUCACUCAUGGAUGGCAACAAACCAGUUAUGGUGGACCGUAUUUAUAUUUGUUUAUUUUGAUAUAGUUAACGGUUUUGACACUUUUUGUUGUUUAAGGUUUCAAAAUCCACUGUUCAUGCAAGAGGUUAUGAUUUAUAGGAAAGAGAAACAUAGAUCAAUGUUAGAGGAACUGGAAGCUCUCCCUAAAUAUAUCCUAAACCGUAUAAAGGCUUAUAGAUAUUGGGUUUAGGAACUCUCUUCUGAUCUGCUGCACUUGCUCAAGCAAAGAGACAGUAACAACAUUUUGUACUUAAUUGGAGAAAUACAUAUAUAGUGGGUUAAGGAGGAGCUGAUUCAGGACUUUUAAAGGUAGCUUAUAGUUUUUUAUUUGAGUUUCAAAACCUUAGAUGUUAAUAUGUUUUAUCUGUUUAGAUAGCUGUAUAACAAAGAGGAAACAUCCUAAUUGUUAACAGGAGAGAGUCCAUGGAGACCUCAUGCAGACUUUUAAGUGAAUGGUUGUGGAAUGAACCCGCUUGUAGUUAAACUUUAUAGUCUAAUAAAUUGUAAACAAUAGCAACAAAUCUCAUUUUAACUUCUUUUUUUGAACAACUAAAGUCAGUUUAUCUAUCUACCAAAAAUUGUUUAAUUUUAUAUUUUGGUUAAUAAAUUACGAUAAAUUGGAUUACUUGUCAUAAUAUAUUUUUAUAUUAGAUAAGCAGCCAAAUUAACUACUUUUACUAUUUUUAUACGCAUUAUAAUACUUUAUAUACAUACGUAGUUACCGUUAAAUUAUUAUAUACUGUACGAAUUGUUUUACAUGUAAACUAAAUUUCUUUAGUCUGAUCAUUUUCAAUUUAUUUGACUACUCAGAUACAAUUUUCAAAAUAAAUUUAUAUACAUCAAAGUAAUUAAAAAAUAUAUAAUAAAAAUAUAUUUAUGUAUAACUUUUACCAAUAACAAUAAAUUUUAUUAUCUAGAUUUUAAAUCUGUAAAACAAAUUAGUAAAUUACCACAGGGUAUAUUGAAAUCAACUUUUCAAUAUACAUUUAGUUCCAUAAAUGGAAUAUUCUAUAUGGAAUAUACACAUAUUUUAAAAAAUAGAUGCUAUUAAAUAGGAAUAUCUAACAUAUAAAAAAGAAUAUCUAGCAUACUUUAAAAAUUAAAGCUAUUAUGUUUAAACUAUAAGAAUACAAUAAAUAAAAUUUUAAUUAAAUAGUUUACUCAAGAUAGACAUAAUAGUUGAAUUUAUUUGACAUAUAAAAAACCUAGAGACAUAUAAAUACUUUUAAAAGAUAACAUAUUACCCGACACAAUAUUAUAUUUUGAAAAUAUACAUUUAUUAAUAAACACAAUCAUACUAAUUGGUUUGAUUUAUUAUAUAAAUAAAAUAGAAAAAAUUAAUGUAAUAUAUAUUAUUAAUUGACAAGUAUCUCAUGUAACAUAUUAUUUUGAUAGUAAAUGUAACUACUAUACGAACAAUCAAUAAAUAUACGUACACAGAUAAAAAACCGUCAAUGAAUCAGAUAAUAUUAUUUAUUUUAAAUUGAAUAAACAUCUGCCGCGGAUCAAAGUCUAAAACAAAACUAAAUCACUUUGGGUUUUGUUUUAUUAAUUUGAGGAAUGACAUGUCAAUUUAAUUAUCUUCAAAAAGUAAUGGAAGAAUCAUAAAAGAGAUUUUGUUUUAAUAGUAUAGCUUCUUGUUUCUGAUAAAAGUGAUUUAUCCAAUUUGGUAACGGAAUAUUGAUUCUGUAAAUCUUGACCAGUAUCGCUACCAAGACCAGACUUGCCCCACACACACUAUAAAUGUAUGGAAUACAUAUGGCUAAAUACUAUACGAAGCAAUCGCAAACUUUGAAACUCUAAACCAACACGUGAAGAUGAAGAACGUUUCUCUCAAGCUUCCACUCUUGAUUUUCAUUUUGGUCAUCACAUCUAGUAAGUAUUUCUUUUGCCUUUUAGAACAGUAGCGUUUGUGUUUCUUUUCACAAAUAUAAAUAGAGAAAACAAAACUUAACCGUUAAACCCCAUUUAUUUAUGUGAAUGAUGGAGAAGAUUUUGGAGUAGAAGCAAGAGAGUUAACUGAAGUUGAAGUUAUGUCCGGAAGUACAAGUGACGCUGCCAUAGGCAAGGCUCUGGGUCCAGCACAUCCACCAUGCCAGAGGGACGUCGAUUGUAGGUUCGAAUGUCCCAAGGGAGGAUACUGCAACGAUCGCUAUGGGUUAUGUGUUUGUCUCUGAUCACUAUUCUAAUCUAAUUUCCAUAUAAAAAAAAUGUAUCGUCAUCAAUUCUUUAGACUACACUCAUUUUGUAUUUCAAGGAUAAAUAUAAUAAAUCCUAUGCUUGAUAUUCAAUAUGCAAUCUUGAUUCGAUCCAAAUAAAACAAAACAGUUUUUUUCAAGGUUUACCACACUUGAGGCUUCCUCUCCUUGCCAGUAAUAAUCUUGACCUCGAAGCGACUGUUGCUUCUUCCUCUUCUCCUCCACUUUCUUCGCUGUCUAGAACAACAAUGGAUUCAGGCAUUGAUGCUUCUUCCAAGGCCGAAUUCUCAAACUCUCCUCCCCAACUUGUCACAUCUUGAUUCUGAUUCAUUUCAGUUUGCGCAAGUACCUCUGCUUUGCUAACUUCAUUCAACUGUGACUCUCUAAGAGGUCUCAAGGACAGUUUUCUGCUUAGUCUAUUGUUGUCACUCUUUGCAGCAGAAGAUCGAACACCUGAAGAGGCCAAGUUAUUAUUAAGUGAUGCUGCAUUAACCAAUGGCUUCUUUAACCCCAGAGAAAGCUUUUUUCCAA
rnacentral:lncRNA from 1 species